CAACUCGCCUGCAUGAAGUUGGAAUUGCUAGUAAUCGCGAAUCAGAAUGUCGCGGUGAAUACGUUCCCGGGCCUUGUACACACCGCCCGUCACACCAUGAGAGUCGAUAACACCCGAAGCCUGUGAGCUAACCGCAAGGAGGCAGCAGUCGAAGGGUGGGGGUUGAUGAUUGGGGUGAAGUCGUAACAAGGUAAC
rnacentral:rRNA from 1 species